AUGAGACUCCCGAGAGCACUUCCUUCUCGGGCUUGUGAAGAUUGGAUGCGCUCGUGCACGGCGCGGGGUGAGGGUUUAGCCCCAACGUCCAGUCCCCUCGUGUGUGUUUGCUUCGUCUCCUGCCCCAGGACCCAGACCCAGGAAGGGAGGGGCUCAGACAGUGCCCUGUGGCUCGUGUUCCAGCAGAGCCAGGACCUGGACCAGCAAGUGCGGAGAAGCAGCGAAUGCAGGAUAGGGAGACGGGGCGCCCCUUAUGAGCUCUGGAGGGUGUUGGAGGAGCUCAUCGAGAGGACGUGCCCAGAGGUGGACCUUUGAGCUGGCCCCAGGCAGUCAGAGGAUCUUCACUUCCUCCCCUGUCCUUGGAAUGUGUGUUCUGCCCACUGUUCCCACUGUGGCAGCUGCUUCAAGGACGCAGCCUUGAGAGAGUAAGUGUUCUUGAGAACAUCUGGACGGAACACGUGACUGAGCCCCGUUAAGGCAUCUGUAUCAACUUGUAAGAUUCUAGUGGGUUGGCGUGGAGAUCCACUCGCCUUGCAGCGCCCAAGACAAGCCUGGGAGGUAAGUUCCCUUGCUUGUUACACCUGCGCCUUGAAAUCUGGAGGGUUCUGUCUCUUUCUUCUGUCUCUCCUUGCCCUCCGUAUAUGGCAGCCAGUUUGCAAACCGACAGAAGGGGAAGGGGUAGUCUCUUCUGGCUUCUGGCGGGUGCUGGCGAUCCUUGCCAUUCCUUGGCUUGUAAAUGCCUCUCUGCUCCUGGAGUCACGUUCCAUUUUCCCUGUGUCUAUGUCUCUUCUCAGAAGGCCCCCAGUGGCUGGAUUUAGGGCCCACCCUAAUCCAGCAUAACUCCGUUUUAUCUUCCAUCUUGAUUACAUCUGCAAAUAUCCUAUUUCCAAACGAAUUCACAUGCAUAGGGACGGUGGUUUAGGACUUGAAUAUACCUUUUUGGGAGACAAAAUUCAACCCAUUACAGGAAGGAAAGAAGAUCACUGCUGUAGGAAAUGGUUUGUUUUUCCAUCAGAAAUCAGGGCCAUUGGGGAAACAGGAGCAGUGAUUAAUGCCCCAUGAGCAGAGCGCUGCCUCUCAAGAAAAAGAUAACUUUUCAGUUUCUGGUUUAAGAAACUGGGUGGAUGGUGGUGCCAUUUGUAAAGACCUUCCUUUUAAAGUCAGCUUUAAAAAUAGGUGGAUUCUGCCUUCUCCCAGAUACUUCUCCACCACCCUCGCUUGUCUGUGUCCACACUCAUCAGCCGGGUCCAGGUUCGCAUCGUCUCAUGCCUGGACCACGGUAAUUGCCUCCUCUCCUGCAUCCCUGCAGCCCCUUUUGCUCAUCUAUAAUCCACUGUGCGUCCAGCAGCCAGAGAGAGCUUUGUAAAAUGUGAACUUGACCAUUUAUUCUUCCAAUUAAGCCCUCCAAUGGCUUUUCCCUUUGCACUUUGAAUGAAAUCCAAACUCCUUACGAAGGCCUCCAUGGCCCUUAAUCAUCUGGCUCCUGCUCCCCUCUCCAGCUCAUCUCAAGCCUCUCACCAGCUCGAUCACUUUACUCCAGCCACGCACGUCUUGAAAUUCCCAUUACGUGCCAAGCGUUUGCCCACCUCAAGGCUUUUGCACGUCCAGCUCCCUCUACCUGGAAUGCUUACCUGCCUACCUGCCACCUAACUAGGUGCAACUGCUGACCAUUGUUCAGGUCGGGGAGGAUGUCCCUGAUUCCCUAGUUUAAAUUGGGACUAGUCUUUCUCUUAGUAUUCUAUUGAUUUCCUUCAUAGUUUCUGACAACUCAGAAUUCUUUGAUUAAUUGUGUUUGAGACUUUAGUACCUGUGUCCCCGCUAGACUGAGAGUGACAGGAGGGGAGGAACCAUGGCUAUCUGUUUUGCUGUGGAUCCUCAAUGCCCAUGCCUAGUACGGUGCCUAGGAAAGAGUAGACGAUGUUCGUUGAGUGAAUAAGUGAGUGACUCAGUGAAUAAAGUAAGCUGGGAACAGUUGGUUUUAGUGAAU
rnacentral:lncRNA from 1 species